AGGUCUGUCUCUCUGCGGCCAUUACGAACAACUGAUGACGUCAUAGUUCCAAUAACUCCUUAUUGGAAAUCGUCUGCAGACUGCAUAUUGGGACAAGCUGAUUAGACAGACCACAGCAUCGCCUCGCAAUUCCACAAGUGUCUACGAACGAAGAACUGGACUUCAAGAAAGGCCUAAGUUUAUAUUUAACAUUUAACAAGUAGAAUGCAGUGCUUAACUUGUGUCAACAGCUGCCUAUGGCCAGAUGAAAUAGUCACAAGAAACAUAUAUCUUGGGAAGAGUCAUACUUUGACUUUGAGAGUUUGCAAACCGCUUUUGACUAUUGAAACUAUGACAGUGUUAAGUUUAUCAAGGUUACAGCAGUGCCUAUCGACCCAAAAGUUUGUCUAGUUCAGCUUUGCUUCUUGUAAUUUUGAAGUAGGAACUAUAUAGGAGUCUAAUAGGAGUCUGUAUCAUGUGACGUCGUCCACUGUGAUUCAGGAGAUAGAUUUUGUUACAGAAACCUGCUACUGGUUUUAAUAUUUCAGGAAAAAUAUUUCUAUUUUUAUUUCUUCUCAGUUGAAUCAGGUAGCUCAGUAUUAUUCAGUAUGUAUAGACUUAUUUUGUACCUAAAGCUCAUACCAGCUUAAUUUAAACUAAUAAGUAUUUGCCUUAGAGUUUUUAUAAGUUUAUUGUCAGGUACAAUAUAGCUCUGAAUGUUCCAGGAUCCUUAGUUUUCUUGCUAAGACUUCUUAUCACUUUGAGAACAGCUUUCAGCUAGUUCAGCACACUUCAGGAUGUAAAUAGU